CCUACGGGAGGCAGCAGUGGGGAAUAUUGCGCAAUGGGCGAAAGCCUGACGCAGCGACGCCGCGUGAGGGAUGAAGGUCUUCGGAUCGUAAACCUCUGUCAGCAGGGAAGAACGGUCACUGUGCUAAUCAGCAGUGAAUUGACGGUACCUGCAAAGGAAGCAUCGGCUAACUCCGUGCCAGCAGCCGCGGUAAUACGGAGGAUGCGAGCGUUAUCCGGAUUUAUUGGGUUUAAAGGGUGCGUAGGCGGAACAUUAAGUCAGCGGUAAAAUCGAGGGGCUCAACCCCUUUAAGCCGUUGAAACUGGUGAUCUUGAGUGGGCGAGAAGUAUGCGGAAUGCGUGGUGUAGCGGUGAAAUGCAUAGAUAUCACGCAGAACUCCGAUUGCGAAGGCAGCAUACCGGCGCCCGACUGACGCUGAGGCACGAAAGCGUGGGGAUCGAACAGGAUUAGAUACCCUUGUAGUC
rnacentral:rRNA from 1 species